rnacentral:rRNA from 1 species
GUGGGGAAUAUUGGACAAUGGGCGAAAGCCUGAUCCAGCCAUGCCGCGUGUGUGAAGAAGGUCUUCGGAUUGUAAAGCACUUUAAGUUGGGAGGAAGGGCAGUAAGUUAAUACCUUGCUGUUUUGACGUUACCGACAGAAUAAGCACCGGCUAACUUCGUGCCAGCAGCCGCGGUAAUACGAAGGGUGCAAGCGUUAAUCGGAAUUACUGGGCGUAAAGCGCGCGUAGGUGGUUUUGUAAGUUGGAGGUGAAAUCCCCGGGCUCAACCUGGGAACUGCCUCCAAUACUGCAUGACUAGAGUACGGUAGAGGGUAGUGGAAUUUCCUGUGUAGCGGUGAAAUGCGUAGAUAUAGGAAGGAACACCAGUGGCGAAGGCGACUACCUGGACUGAUACUGACACUGAGGUGCGAAAGCGUGGGGAGCAAACAGGAUUAGAUACCCCUGUAGUCC